ensembl:snoRNA SNORD116 Small nucleolar RNA SNORD116
UGAUGACUCACUCAUAUGCAUUCCUUGGAAAAUCUGAACAAAAUGAGAACUCACUACCAUUAAGAAAGAAAUAA